rnacentral:rRNA from 1 species
AUGGGGGAAGAUCGGGAAGAGGAAUCGGAUGAGGAUUUCGGCCACCUGGGUCCAGAUCCAAACCUAGAUGAUGCGUUCGAAGGCAUGAACCUGCGUGGGGAGGAAGAAGAAGACCUAGACCUGUCUGGAGAAGUGGAUGAUCUGAUAAGGGACGUGCGUUGGUUGGCUCUGUUUAGGGUUCACACGAUGAGACCGUUUAGCCAUGCAGCGUUGCUAAAUUCGAUGAGGAACGCGUGGACAUGCGCGCAAGGGGUUACGUUCAACAUCAAGGGGCCGAAUUUGUUCUUGGCUCAAUGUGACUGUCUUGGAGAUUGGAAGAGGGUAAUGGAGGGAGGCCCAUGGCAGUUUCGAAGGGAUCCAGUGAUUCUUGUUGAAUAUGAUGGCUUCACGGAUGUGGAAGAGUAUGCACUGGACAUGUAUCCAUUAUGGGCGCGUAUUAAGGGCCUCCCGGACGGCCUCACAAGGAAGAAAGAGUUAGCGGAGAAGGUGGUAAAGAAGGUGGGGAAGCCACCUUUUACAGUGAUUGUUAAUGAGGGGAGGAUAAACCCUUCAAAUCAUCUUCGAGUAAGAGUUUUCGUGAAUGUGGAUCCUUUGGUGAGAUUUGUGCCGAUUACUUUGAAGGAGAGGAAGAAGUAUCCAGUUAGAUAUGAGAAGCUCUCAGAUUUCUGUUUUUUCUGUGGACGCAUGGGGCAUGUAGUGGAGGAAUGCGGUGAUGGCAUACAUGAUCCUGCAUCAUGUGAGUGGGGAGAUUGGCUUCACUGGACAAAUGAACCGACUAGUCUUGGUGGUGGUGAUAGAGGAGGGGGCGGGAUGGGUUCGAGGCGCGGUGGUGGAUCUAUGGGUGGAAGAGGGAGAGGAGGGUUAGGAGAUGUUUUUGGUGGUGGAGGAAGAGGUGGACAGGGACAUGUUCCAGUAAGCGAGCAUGUUGCGGGGCAAGUGGCUCCUGGUGUCAAUCUUGUGUUAGGCGAGGAUGGGGGGAUGUCAAAAAACGUUUCAUCAGUUCAGAUGGGUCUAUUAAUGUGA